rnacentral:rRNA from 1 species
CCUACGGGAGGCUGCAGUGGGGAAUAUUGGACAAUGGGGGCAACCCUGAUCCAGCCAUGCCGCGUGUGUGAAGAAGGCCCUCGAGUUGUAAAGCACUUUCAGUGAGGAAGAACGCCUGGUGGUUAAUACCCAUCAGGAAAGACAUCACUCACAGAAGAAGCACCGGCUAACUCCGUGCCAGCAGCCGCGGUAAUACGGAGGGUGCGAGCGUUAAUCGGAAUUACUGGGCGUAAAGCGCGCGUAGGUGGCUUGAUAAGCCGGUUGUGAAAGCCCCGGGCUCAACCUGGGAACGGCAUCCGGAACUGUCAAGCUAGAGUGCAGGAGAGGAAGGUAGAAUUCCCGGUGUAGCGGUGAAAUGCGUAGAGAUCGGGAGGAAUACCAGUGGCGAAGGCGGCCUUCUGGACUGACACUGACACUGAGGUGCGAAAGCGUGGGUAGCAAACAGGAUUAGAUACCCCUGUAGUC